UACGUAGGGUGCGAGCGUUGUCCGGAAUUAUUGGGCGUAAAGAGCUUGUAGGCGGUUUGUCGCGUCUGCUGUGAAAAUCCGGGGCUCAACCCCGGACUUGCAGUGGGUACGGGCAGACUAGAGUGUGGUAGGGGAGACUGGAAUUCCUGGUGUAGCGGUGAAAUGCGCAGAUAUCAGGAGGAACACCGAUGGCGAAGGCAGGCUCUGGGCCAUUACUGACGCUGAGAAGCGAAAGCAUGGGGAGCGAACAGG
rnacentral:rRNA from 1 species